GGCAGAGUCAAGCGGUUCCCUUAACUAUUCUGUAAUGGAAAAUCGAAGCAAUCUCGAGCAGAAUCCAGCUGUUAUCGUCUUUCCGCGCGAUGUUAUCUUCGGCAGUGACGAAGUAAUCCCAUACCCAAAUAUGACUAUAGCUAAACUAAUGGAGGCCUAUGACAAGUGCCUCUCUAGAAUGGGCAAGUAUGAAGCGGAUCGGCGUUCGUCUU